GUGAGGAAUAUUGGUCAAUGGGCGGGAGCCUGAACCAGCCAAGUCGCGUGAAGGAAGAAGGAUCUAUGGUUCGUAAACUUCUUUUGCAGGGGAAUAAAGUGCAGGACGUGUCCUGUUUUGUAUGUACCCUGAGAAUAAGGAUCGGCUAACUCCGUGCCAGCAGCCGCGGUAAUACGGAGGAUCCGAGCGUUAUCCGGAUUUAUUGGGUUUAAAGGGUGCGUAGGUGGAUUGAUAAGUCAGCGGUGAAAGUUUGCAGCUUAACUGUAAAAUUGCCGGUGAAACUGUCGGACUUGAGUGUAAAUGAGGUAGGCGGAAUGCGUGGUGUAGCGGUGAAAUGCAUAGAUAUCACGCAGAACUCCGAUUGCGAAGGCAGCUUACUAAGCUACAACUGACACUGAAGCACGAAAGCGUGGGGAUCAAACAGGAUUAGAAACCCGUGUAGUCC
rnacentral:rRNA from 1 species